rnacentral:rRNA from 1 species
GUGGGGAAUCUUCCGCAAUGGGCGCAAGCCUGACGGAGCAACGCCGCGUGAGUGAAGAAGGUUUUCGGAUCGUAAAGCUCUGUUGUCAGGGACGAGAGACUUGAUCAGGAAAUGGGUCAAGGAGGACGGUACCUGGCGAGAAAGCCACGGCUAACUACGUGCCAGCAGCCGCGGUAAUACGUAGGUGGCGAGCGUUGUCCGGAAUUAUUGGGCGUAAAGGGAGCGCAGGUGGGAAGGUAAGUCAGUCUUAAAAGUUCGGGGCUCAACCCCGUGAUGGGAUUGAAACUAUUUUUCUUGAGUGCAGGAGAGGAAAGCGGAAUUCCUAGUGUAGCGGUGAAAUGCGUAGAUAUUAGGAGGAACACCAGUGGCGAAGGCGGCUUUCUGGACUGUAACUGACACUGAGGCUCGAAAGCGUGGGGAGCGAACAGG